UUACUCAAAAAAAAAAAUAAAAGGUAAUAUUAUUAUAUAAUCCCAUCAGAACUCUGAAGUUAAGCACUGUAAGGCUUGGCUAGUACUGAGGUGGGAGACCGCUCGGGAACACCAGGUGAUGAGUCAU
rfam:Plasmodium falciparum Palo Alto/Tganda unplaced genomic scaffold supercont1.147, whole genome shotgun sequence.